rnacentral:rRNA from 1 species
UACGUAGGGUGCAAGCGUUGUCCGGAAUUAUUGGGCGUAAAGAGCUCGUAGGCGGCCUGUUACGUCUGCUGUGAAAUCCCGGGGCUUAACCCCGGGCGUGCAGUGGAUACGGGCAGGCUGGAGGCAGGCAGGGGAGAACGGAAUUCCCGGUGUAGCGGUGAAAUGCGCAGAGUAUCGGGAGGAACACCGGUGGCGAAGGCGGGUCUCUGGGCCCGUAACUGACGCUGAGGAGCGAAAGCAUGGGGAGCGAACAGG